rnacentral:rRNA from 1 species
UUACGGGAGGCAGCAGUGGGGAAUCUUCCGCAAUGGACGAAAGUCUGACGGAGCAACGCCGCGUGUAUGAUGAAGGUCUUCGGAUUGUAAAGUACUGUCUUUGGGGAAGAACGGUCUUCUUGAGAAUAUUGAGGAGACAUGACGGUACCCAAGGAGGAAGCCCCGGCUAACUACGUGCCAGCAGCCGCGGUAAUACGUAGGGGGCAAGCGUUGUCCGGAAUUAUUGGGCGUAAAGGGCGCGUAGGCGGAUUUUUAAGUCUGGUGUGAAAGAUCAGGGCUCAACCCUGAGAGUGCAUCGGAAACUGGAGAUCUUGAGGACAGGAGAGGAAAGUGGAAUUCCACGUGUAGCGGUGAAAUGCGUAGAUAUGUGGAGGAACACCAGUGGCGAAGGCGACUUUCUGGACUGUAACUGACGCUGAGGCGCGAAAGCGUGGGGAGCAAACAGGCUUAGAUACCCCCGUAGUCCU